UUCAGGUAGCAAAAUUUAUAAGAAUAAAAUUAUUUUAUUCGUACCAAUUAUUUAUUACAUUAAAUACAAAUAAAAUUUAGUAGAGAAUAUACACAAUUAGAUGCAAUUCUACAGAAUAUACCUUUGUUGAAAAAAAUUUCAACUGAAUAAACUAAAAUAUACUUUUCUUUUCAAAUAUUUAAUGAAUUUCAUUUUAACGCUAACAUUCUAAUCAAAUUUCAUUUAACAUGAAUGUUACAUUUUACAUUUAAGCUAUCAAUUAUAGCCAUAUCUACUUAUCAAUAUUGAAAGAUUAUGUAUCAUUUUCAUAAUCUUUUGGAUUUUUACGUUGUAGUUUAUAAUAUUCAGCAUUUGCCCAUUCCAUUAGUAGGUAAGUACAAAGAAAGGCUGAAGAGGUGUAAUAAAAAAAAAUUCCGCUCUACAACGUUUUAUAAAUCGUUUAGAAGCCUCACGUAUUCCAGCAAAAGGACUUUGUUCAUAUGGACUAAGACGGAAAAAUGUAACGCCAGUUACUCUUUCAAGUUCUCCAAACCUCUUUCCUCCCAUUUUGACUGAAUUCACAAAACAAUUAUUUUAAUACUUCAAAACAUAAAUGAGAGUAAUAAACGAAUAUAACCAAGAAACAAAAUAAAUAACAUCAAAAAAUAUUUCGAGUUUCAUAAACAUAAUUUUUAGAAAUAAACUUUACUUACUUUAAUUACUUAUUAAAUACUAAUAAUCACUUAUUAAGUGUAAAAAAUGAAGUUAAUUAUUUCAAAACUAUAUAACUUACGUAAUAAUGAUAUACCUAUCGAUUUGGAACGUUCCAAUACGUACAGAUAUCUGAUUCUGAUACCUCUAAAGUAUAUUCGCUAGAUGGCAUGUUUGUUAUCUGCGUGUCAGGGCGCAAAAUUUGAAUUAUGUGAUUUAACAUAGAUUUGUAUUAAUAUUAACACAUUCAAAUACUACGAAUAUUUAUGUUAAAAUUACAUACUAUGUAUUGGUAGUGGAAAUUUAUAAAUGAUUUUCCCAUGAACAACUUAUGCAUAUAUAU
rnacentral:misc_RNA from 1 species